rnacentral:lncRNA from 1 species
CAGGUGGGAUAGCUAACUUAGCUUGUUCAAGAUGAAACAGACCACCUGAACCCGUAACCUGACAGCAGGCUGCGCCUUUGAAGACUGCAGGGCUGGGGACGAUACACACGGACGAUAAGAUACCCCCCAGCUGUGAACAGGGGCGCGGAGCAGGCUUUACCGGGAGAAACACCCAUCGAAACGGACGCCGAAGCUGACCCGAGGAAAUUAACGAAUUCGCUCGACUCCUUUGCGCUUUUCGUGACCCGCUACGCCUGUUCGCUGUGUGAUUGAUGUGAAGAUGAAGAUGUCUGUCUUUGGCUCGGUGUGAGGUUCCCUCUUUGAGCUCCUGCCAGAGUUUCAGCGCCGACGGAGGAGCAGGUCGGACUGCGUUGAUCUCCCGGGUGCGUCACCAGGAGGAAUGUUCUUCUGCCCAUCCGAGGUAGAAACCGGAACACGCGUGAGCGGAGACAUCGGCACAGGCCAGUAAACGCAAGGGGAAACUAUA